rnacentral:rRNA from 1 species
UACGUAGGUGGCAAGCGUUGUUCGGAUUUACUGGGCGUAAAGGGCGCGUAGGCGGCCAGCGCAAGUCAGUUGUGAAAUCUCCGGGCUUAACUCGGAACGGUCAACUGAUACUGCGCGGCUAGAGUGCAGAAGGGGCAACUGGAAUUCUCGGUGUAGCGGUGAAAUGCGUAGAUAUCGAGAGGAACACCUGCGGCGAAGGCGGGUUGCUGGGCUGACACUGACGCUGAUGCGCGAAAGCCAGGGGAGCGAACGGG